AACAACAUGGUGCUUGUUUUGUUUUGUCAUAGUGAAGUUUGAUGUAACCCCAUGUUUUCUGACAUGAGCCCACCCUGAAGAAGAUGGAGCAAAGACAAAAAUCAGUUAUGACAAUGUUAUGCCAAAAGAUGACUUAAAGGGGCAUCUGGAGUAAAAAGACAGACUACUGAUUCUUCAAAUGACCAUGAGAACAGUUGUAAAUUGUUAAUGAAAGAAGAGGAAGAAGUGGAUGGACAGGAAUCAGAC